AGUAACGCGUGAGAAUUGCCUUGGGGUACGAGACACCACUGGAAAUGGUGGCUAAUAUCGUAUCAGCCUAUGGGUAACGAAUUUAUUGCCCCACGAGGAACUCGCGUCUGAUUAGCUAGUUGGUGAGGUAAAAGCUCACCGAUGCAGUGAUCACUAACUGGUCUGAGAGGACGAUCAGCCACACUGAGACUGAGACACGGCCCAGACUCCUACGGGAUGCAGCCGUGGGGAAUUUCCCGCCAUUGGGCGAAAGCCUGACGGGGCAAUCACUGCUUGAGGGAGGCAAGGCUCUUGUGGUUGUAAACCUACUUUUCUCAGGGCAACAAGCUCUGACUGUACCUGAGGAAUCAGCCUCGGCUAACUCCGUGCCAGUAGCCGCGGUAAUACGGAGGAGGCAAGCGUUAUCCGGAAUUAUAGGGCGUAAAGCGUCCGCAGGUGGCGAUUCAAGUCUGCUGUCAAAGCACGGGGCUUAACUCCGUUAACGCACUGGAAACUGAAUAGCUAGAGUGCCGUAGGGGUAGAGGGAAUUCCCGGUGUAGCGGUGAAAUGCAUACAGAUCGCGAAGACCAUCGGUGGCCACAGCGCUCUACUGGACGGCAA
rnacentral:rRNA from 1 species